rnacentral:lncRNA from 1 species
CAUCGCUCCAUGCCCAGAUAAGAGCCCAAUAAGGAAAAUUAAACAAUAAAAAACAAGUACAUUAUUCUACUGCUCACAAUUUUAUCAGAUUCCAGUGUCACAGCCAUGAUUUCGCUCAAAACUCUCUUACAUUUAUUUUUUAGUAAAAGGUAACCUUCUCUGUUCAUGAAAACACACAAUGGAUUUCUUUACUUACAAGGGAAGGCAGGUUUCCACUCCAAGAUUUAAAUAUACUGAACUUCACAAACUACACCGUGUACUUCUAUUAUUAUGCUUUCAGGUUCCAUUUUUAUGCCUGAUGUAUUAGGGAGAAAGCCUUCUGACUUUCUGAUGAUGCAUUUAAAUGAAUAAAGGGAGCCAUGGGGGAUAGCUGGGGGCCUGAAAAAUAGAGCGCACUCAAUGCUUUUAUGAAUACUUACAUUUAAUUAAAAAGCACCAUAUGCCAUCAAAAGUAUUGUUGGCUGGGUAACGUCCCUUUUAACAGAUGUGAUUACAGACAUAGGGUAAAUAUUAUGCAGGAAGACAUAAUAGAAGCAUAGCCCAUUGGGAAGGGAGAAACCUAGUAAUACAAAAGCUACUCUAAACAGCAGUGUGCUGUUUGGCAAGGUUAUAGGCUUGCUCUGGAGAUACCUACCUUUCAGCCUUGCAUAGGAGGGUUUUUGAGCCUUUACACUUAUCCUGAAAACAUAUGUUGCAGUCCUCCAAAGCACACAAAUAAACUCUAGGUUUUAUAUUUUACCUCAGAAAGAAAUCAAGCAGAGCUACAGUUGACAUUUAGGGCAAAACAACCUGUAUCAGAAACUUCCAGUCCAUUCAUCCAUGCUUAAAGCACACACACAUACCCAGCUGGUUCCUGUAUCCAUCAUCAAGGAGAAAGUCCCUGGUAGGAGCUGCCCCUGGCAAUCUGCACCUCAGUGGCAUGUAAGAAAGCACUGGGGCUAUUCCAGAUUAUGCUGUACAGUUACCUCACUGUUAUGAGAGCCAUUCCAACAAAUCCUGGUGCUCUCCUUCCUUCCACUCACUCUGCCAUACUGGGGAUGGAGGAUGGUGAGACGGUUUACUGGAAAAGGAGAGGAUUAGAAAACAUUGACAGGAGAUUGAAACAAACAAACAAACAAAAAAAGAAAAAGAGAGAGAGAGAGAAAAAAAAAAAAAGAAGGUGAACGGAAAAGAAGCGAGGAAGAAAACACACUGGGAAAUUAUGUAAAAGUUGCCUGGGCUUUAAUGUUACAUCUUGUCAUACGAAAUGAAGGGCAACUGCUGUUGUGUGAAGGAAGUAUGUGCUAAUGGAAAACAGGAAAGAGAAAAAAGAAUAAUGAUUCAUCAAUUAAAAAGAGCAGACCUCCAAAUGGAACAAGUUACCAGAACGAACCAAACUGAACAUCCAUCUCAGCAUUCUCCUCAGUUACUUGCAUAAAAUGGCCGAUGAAGUCAGGGAAAGAGUUCUUCCUCUUCACUUCAGCAUGAACGAUGAAUUUAUAAACCAAGAGUAUUCCAUAUUCACUGAGACAACAAACCAGCAACAAGAUAGACAGUCCCACUAAGGUGCACCCUGUUACCUUCUGGUCAGUGUGCCAACCCACCUUUUCUACACUGAUUUGUGAUGCGGGAGAAGACUUUUUAUUCUUCAGCUGUGAUGAGCUGAAAAGACAGUAAGUUACUCUGUCACUCUCAUCACAUAGAAUUCACCUCUGCCUCCAAACAGCUCCAGGGAAAUCUACCAGCUCCACAGCUGUCCUGUGUGUCCUCCAUCAAGAGAAUCUUGGGAAACGCUUAGAAAAUAAAGAACCUGUUUUCCAAUUACGGAUUUGUUAAAACAAGGUGAAAUCUUAGUUCCAUGCCUGCAAAAUGGGAAUCAUUAAUCCCAGUGUAAAUGGGAGACACUGAACUCUCCAGCACAUCUGAAAGAGCAAAUCCGUCAGUGCUUUGAAAAUCAUUUGUGGACCCUUAGAGAGAAAGCCCUAUUUCAACUUCAAAUGUUGG